rnacentral:rRNA from 1 species
GACAGAGGGUGCAAACGUUGUUCGGAAUUACUGGGCGUAAAGCGAGUGUAGGCGGUUUGGUAAGUCGGAUGUGAAAGCCCCGGGCUCAACCCGGGAAGUGCAUUCGAUACUCCCAAGCUAGAGUAUCGGAGAGGUUGGUGGAAUUCUCGGUGUAGAGGUGAAAUUCGUAGAUAUCGAGAGGAACACCGGUGGCGAAGGCGGCCAACUGGACGAAUACUGACGCUGAGACUCGAAAGCGUGGGGAGCAAACAGG